rnacentral:lncRNA from 1 species
UUUCAAGCACGUUUUUUUAAUGAAAAUGAUAUUCUUUUUUCUAACUCAGUUAACACAAAUGCAAGUAAUUGGCCUUGUAAAACCAACGAAAUGUGACUCUGUGGUUUGUGGCCAAUCCUAGAUGAGCCACACAGCAAUACCCCACCCCAUAACCAUCAAUUUUCUUCCUUAUUACUGAAACAUUGCGCCAGGUAGUUAAGUAAAACCAAUCGUAUCAGUACACAGGGUUCAUACGAAGGACAACGACUAAAAAAUGUGGCCAGCGUUUGUCACAUCUAGCGGAUCUCUCCAUUGUCAUUACCCUUCCGCCGUCUCAUGCCUGCACUUUUAAGCAUAAUCUACUCUUGAUCCUCCAUCAGUUCCUUCGUUCGAUUGUGACAUUGUCUCCAAGAUAUAAUAUACAUACACGUCACAGAAUUCACGUCGACAAUGACAGGCUAGUAAGUUUAUACCCUCCCAGAGUAAGAUGCCUGAUGCGCUUGAUCCUCUCUUGUCGGUAUUUAUAAUGUGUACAGCUUCUAACCUGUAAAAAAGUCACAUGAAAGUUAAUAUCUUCCUAAUGUUAAUAUGACCCUCCAGUUGUUCCAGUGGCCUCAAAAACUAUUAGAUCAAUCAACGAGAUAAUAAUAAUAUAAAAUAAUUGAGGAAACAAAAUAUGGUUUUGGCUGUUUAAUGGCAAAUAAUGGUGAAGCUUUUCCCGCAAAAGAAAAAUGGUGAAGCAACAGUUACCGAUGUUGACAGAAAAGAAAUUGACCUCUCCUAUUCCAUUCCCUCAUGCUUAAAUCAGCGCUCUCCUCUCUUCGAGUACAUUCCCAACACCAG